rnacentral:rRNA from 1 species
AUUGAACGCUGGCGGCAUGCCUUACACAUGCAAGUCGAACGGCAGCACGGGGGCAACCCUGGUGGCGAGUGGCGAACGGGUGAGUAAAGCAUCGGAACGUGCCCGGUAGUGGGGGAUAGCCCGGCGAAAGCCGGAUUAAUACCGCAUACGACCUGAGGGUGAAAGCGGGGGGACCGCAAGGCCUCGCGCUAUCGGAGCGGCCGAUGUCAGAUUAGGUAGUUGGUGGGGUAAAGGCCUACCAAGCCUGCGAUCUGUAGCUGGUCUGAGAGGACGACCAGCCACACUGGGACUGAGACACGGCCCAGACUCCUACGGGAGGCAGCAGUGGGGAAUUUUGGACAAUGGGCGCAAGCCUGAUCCAGCCAUGCCGCGUGCGGGAAGAAGGCC